AAUACAAGAGACGGAAAGAAAAGAGAUGCACAGAGAUGCAAAUAUCUUGUCCAAAUAGCAGAGAAAUUAAAUAGCCACAGAAACAAGCUUUAUCUGGGGAUGCAAAACUCCCAACAAUGACCAGCCGGGACUGUAACUCAGCUGAUGGGCAACUGUGGUACCUCACAAUCAACAAUGAGCAGCAGUUCUUGUUUUCAUUAAAGGGCUGAAUUAUUUUGCUUUUCUGUAGGAUAGAAGUUUAUUUUGGGGCCAUUACUCAAGAGUAGAUGGCAUCUGCCAUCUACACAGCAAAGUGUACCCCAUAAUAAUGUGUUCAUGUUCCUACUCCCAAAGUCAAUGGCAGAUACAGGAACAGACCCAGCUUCAACUCCCAGUUCAGUGUCCUACUCACUAGACCACAAAAUUGUUUUUUUUUUUAUAUAGACAGACAUAUAAAGAUAUGGAUGGAUGGCUCAAAGCCUGAUUUUAUUGCCAUAUGGACACCUAAAAAUUAGCGUUUUAAAAUGUAAAGGAUUUUAGCUCCUGCAUACUAAUGAGUUCCGUCUUUUACAAUAAGACAAUAAUGAAAUGACCUAUAAAAGCAGUUAGAAACAGUAACAGUGAGAUCUAAGAUAGCUUCAGGGUUAAAAUCCUUCCCAUGACUACAGAGGCAAGCACUCUUUCUCAUCAUCAUUUGCCUGCCCUAUACAGCACAGCCAUGUCAAAUACUACAGAACUACUGCUUGGUCAAGUACCACACACAUUGCUGUCCAUUAACCUAAAAUCGUGACCUGCUUUACAUUAUUUCCUCUUGCAAAAUUCCUGCACCUUAAGGGGAAACCUCACAGCUCUGUCAAAACCAGUUUCAGAUCUGGCACUUCUGUGUGCAGACUGACACCCCCAGUGAUGCAUCUAAAAUAUCUGUAGAGGACAUUUUUUCCUCACCCUGCUAAGAUUUGUGAUUUCCCAUUGGGUUUUGGUGUUCUCGCACACACGCUUACACUGUAACAAAGUGCACUUUCUAAGCUAUUGUAGAUAUUCCUUGUGACAGCAAGCAAAAGAGGGAAAUGAUGUAAAGCCACACCACGCCAUCGAGCUCACACCAGGAGAAGUGAAACAUAUGUCUCCAACAACAUAAAACGCACUGGGUAAAAUUCGCAGCAGUGGGUCUCCCACAGAUUUCCAGGAACCGCAAACAUGAUCUUUGUGUCUUGCCAAGCUCCCCAGAUAUGUUAUCCAUCUGGGGGAAUGUAACUCUAGAAUUGCCAACCAUGAAGGCCGUAAUUGUGUUUUCUCCAUUAAUUUUAUAUGCUGUGGUAAGAUAAAAUGCAGCAGAGAAUGUCCCUGACGCUACCAUAUUUUGAGUCUUUAUGCAAAGACAUGAAGACAGUUCAAUAAACCUGUUGGGAAGCUGGCAGAAAUGACAGCACAGAAAACAUGGUUGUCACUUGCAUUUGCAGAUGAAGUCCUUUGAUGCCUGGAACCAAUAAGAUGGAGCAACCACUAGUAGAGUAAGUUACACAGCAAAACAUUUUUGGCAGGUUCUCAUUGUAAGGACCCAUGUGCCUGCUAGACACAAAGGUCUUCCACAGUGCAACAGGCCCUCAAAGAGAACUGCCUGCCCUCCAGCUCCACCCUGCAGCCAAUAUAUAAAUCAGGAAGGUGACCCAGGGCAAUUGAUGAAAGUCUGAGCUACUGCAGGAGGUACUUUGGAAUAACGAGCUGCUGCACUACAAAGACUGCUCAGCUGUAUGGAGGCAACCAUCAAGGCAAAGGCCUUGUGUCUGCACUUGCAUGUUAGAUGACCAAGGUACAGGAAGAAAACUGUGUUCUCUGCUGUUUAAGAAUGAACUUUGACAAAAUGGACAGUUCUGACUUCUGACUCAGUUAAUCAGUUGCUGAGAACUGUGUCCUGCUGCUUUGUGAGUGUCCAUCAUCUGUCUUCAGCUAAUGAAUUUCUCUGUAGUGGAGUGUUCUACCUUCUGCUAUAUUUUCAGUGGCAGAAGUAUAUCCAGCACAGGAAAACUCCACUAGAACUUAAUAUUGCAGUGAAAAUCAUGCUAAAUUUUGAGGACGGACAAAUUCUAGAUCUACAGAGCAAGCAAUUCUUUUUCCUGAUUGUGCUGACUGAAGCUUCAGAAGAAAUCUCUUUAGAAGAGGUAGUGUGAUUCCAGAGGUCUACUUGUGCUGACUGAUACUCCAACACAAUUUGGAGGUAAUGUCUUUAGAGAAGGUGACAAUGGGAUGAAUUGGUCCUGUACUAAACAGCUGGAUUCAAUGCAGUUGGGACUCUAGCUAAGAACCCUGAUGAAUUUGGCCUUUUUUCUAGGAUAUCUGCAACAACAUGAUUGUCCAUAUCAUGUGUACCUUCAUGCCCUAAGGAGUUUGCAAUGAAGUUGUUCAGGCAUCUUCUUUUAUUUAGUUCUGUGGUGCCACUGCAGUUGAUUGCUUCAGCUGCUCUGACUGAAGCAAAAAGACUUAAUAAAAAGUGAGAUGAAGUACUCA